UACGUAGGGUGCAAGCGUUGUCCGGAAUUAUUGGGCGUAAAGAGCUCGUAGGCGGUCUGUCGCGUCUGCUGUGAAAACUCAGGGCUUAACCCUGAGCUUGCAGUGGGUACGGGCAGACUAGAGUGCGGUAGGGGAGACUGGAAUUCCUGGUGUAGCGGUGAAAUGCGCAGAUAUCAGGAGGGAACACCGGUGGGCGAAGGCGGGUCUCUGGGCCGGUAACUGAC
rnacentral:rRNA from 1 species